GCCAGAGGCCCAAGCGUGGCCGAGCCGGAGGCAAGCAUGUGCCCUGGAGACCCGCCAGAGGGAGCCGGGUCUGCAGCGCACGCACGGCACGGCUUGGGUCCCAGCGCUGCCACCGAGGUGGUGUACAAACUUGGGCCAAUUUUCUCAACUUCUCUGGCCCUCAGCUUCAAAAUGAGCACGGGGGUCCUUGACACUUAUGCGUGAAAACUGGAACUUCGCUUCUAAAACCCUCUUGGUUCAUUCUGGACUUCAGAGAUUGUGCAAUAGAGCAGCCUGGCCCCAGCCUUGUCCUCAGCACCCUCCCUGGAUGUGAGGAAACCACCAUCAGGGACAGCUCAUAGUUUCAAAAAGGUAUAAUAGUGGCAUUUUUAAAGUCCAUAUUCUUCAAAGAAACAUACUGAAAUAUUCAGAUAUUGAUUGGAUGACCGGGACACGCUUCACCUAAUUCGGACAGGAAAGGGGAGAAGUUGCAACUGAAGAGCUGAAGAUAUUGGUCAUGAGCUGAUAAUUGAGGA